CCCAUGAUAAGGACCGAGUGCAUUUCCUGCAGCUUUCUCUGCAGAUGUGCUCCUCACCUUGAAAUCCUCCUUGUUGGUUCCCAGCUCCUCACCGUGGCCUGUGCUCUCUGUUUCAGGCUGAGAACAAGGGGAAGCCCCUGCUGGACCAUGAGGUGGCACCUGUGAAUGUUCCAGCUAUUGCUGCUGCCCAUGCUAUUAAGAGACACGUUGCCCAGGCAGCGGAUGAACUCUCCUUUGAGGUCGGAGACAUCAUCUGUGUCAUCGACAUGCCACCAAAGGAGCUGAACCCCUGGUGGAGAGGCAAGCUCGGCUUCCAGGUUGGAUUUUUCCCAGGGGAGUGUGUGGAACUGAUUAAUAAGGACAUUCCUGAGGCACUCAUCAAUUCUGUGCCAAAGCCAGGUAUGGAUGUUACAUUUGAUGGUGUCG